AGCUUGGGAUUUCCCAGAUUUGUGCGGACAAAUGCAAAGGUCGCGUAGGUUAUUGCGUGAAUUCUUAAUCAAUAUCAUCUCAUUUAAGAGACUGCAGACGAUAUUUUUGGUUUAUUUAUGACAAUUGAGCUUUGUUGUAUUGAUAAACGAUAACGUUUAUAAUAUUACAAACAUUUAGCAUACACAUUUUACUUUUACGAAAAGGCAUUACAAAAAGGCAUGUUUACACGCCCUGUUUACAAGGUUGACAGAUACAGUGUGGACAUACCACGUGGUUUGUGACGUCACAUUUAGUUAAAACGUGAAGUAAAAUACCGCUCGACUCAAAAAGGAUUAUCGCUACUGAUGCGGCCUCCCCUUACCAUGGGGAAGCGCUGCAGGCGAGCAAAGAAAAAGCAAGGGGGAGGACGUAAUUUCGUUUCAUGCAAACAUUAAGUGGGAAAAAAAUUCAUGGCAAACAAAAUGGCAGAUUUAGAAUGAACAGUACUGAUUUAGGAACCAACUUUUGCCUGGAACUUCACCAUGGCCCGAUUUAGAAGGCGAACGAGCCUCACGUUAUACAGAAAAUCACACAAGACCGCAGUGGCAAAGAAAUCCGUCAAUACAAGAACAUAAAAUGCUAGCAUGUCGUCGAUGAAAAAAAAACUCGCUUCUGUGAUUACAACCAAAGUAGUUAGAUUCUCGGUGUACAAAAAGAGAUGUUUAACGUCUUUAACUAGUAACAGAACACCCAAAAGCACACGAUUAGCCCUCGAAAUACAUAAACAUAUGCGCGUUUAACGCGCCUGAUAAAAUAUAUAAAGUAUUCAAUGAAGUCAAUUUCCUACAAGAUAUUUGAAAACACAUUAAAAUGAUAUGAUUCGGAAAACACGUCCGCCAUGCAUUAUUCUGAGGAGACGAAAGAUUUCUAUCGGACUUGUUUGGCACGUUCAUUCCCUGCUGUGCAUCCCUUGUUUAUUGCACUGGGUCACAGAAGGGGACAAUUUCCUGUGUAUUUGUUUAUUGACACAGGGGCAUUUAGAGCUGACACUUAGAUAGUCUCAUUGUCUCACUAAUACAUAAUCAAUUCUUGUAUAAUUUGUAUAUCUAAUGUAUUUAUUAAUUUGACCGAUGGAAUAUAAAUAAUAAACAAAUAAGAGUUAUACGUGUUUUAAUAGUUAUAUAACGGAUAUAUUUUAAUCCACUUUAAAUACAUGGUCACCAUUGUAAUAUCCAAAUUGUCAAGCAUCAUGGUUAAAUCAUAUUAAUGGGCUUUUAUAUACAUGUAUUGAAUAUAACAUUACUUUUAUUUUUAUUCUAAAGCAUUGUAAUAAUAAU